UACGUAGGGGGCUAGCGUUGUCCGGAAUCAUUGGGCGUAAAGCGCGCGUAGGCGGUCAGGUAAGUCCGGUGUGAAAGUCAAAGGCUCAACCUUUGAAUGCCGCUGGAAACUGCCUGACUUGAGUCCGGUAGGGGCGAGUGGAAUUCCUGGUGUAGCGGUGAAAUGCGCAGAGUAUCAAGGAGGGAACACCAAUGGCGAAGGCAACUCGCUGGAACGGUACUGACGCUGAGGCGCG
rnacentral:rRNA from 1 species